AGAGCACCCUAAGGGAGAGACAAGAGAUAGCAUAUGCCAGGGCACCUUUAUUUUUGGACAAUCCCCUGAGGCAGGGAGUGCUGAGGAGGUAUGCUUCAGAGUUGAUUUCAUCUAGCAAAAUGAUGAGUUUCUGAAUGAGAUGAAGUCCAUGAAAGCAGUCAAGGGAGAAAUGAAUGCCACUGACUCCGCCUGAAAUCUUGGAACAACAGGACCUUGGAAGUCCUCUAAUAUCCUUUGAGGGUUGCCAUGAUACUUCAGAUGUGGUAUAAUCAUCAAGAGUACAAGUGAGAUUGAGGACCCUCAUCUUCCUUAUUCAAAGCAACAUAAUUAUUUCAUUAGUCUAAAAUUGCAUUAGUUGGCAAACAGAUGCUACUGGUCAUGAAGAGAGCAAAUGAAGAAAGUCAGGAUGACUUGGUAUAAAAUCAUUAAAAUGUAAAGUAAUGAGGUUGGACCAUAGGGGUCUCCCAAGAUGACAUUCCUACUUAAUCAUCAUUAAUCAAUCACUGUAGUAG
rnacentral:lncRNA from 1 species